ensembl:snoRNA SNORD14 Small nucleolar RNA SNORD14
UCACUGUGACGUUUGACUUUCCAACCAUUUGCAGUUUCCACCAGAAAAGUUGUUCCUUAGUGUUGGCUAAACCUUCCUUGGAUGUCUGAGUGA